rnacentral:lncRNA from 1 species
AUGGAGAACAGCUGGAGUCCAGUGGAUCUCAGCCAUAGAUGCUCAGGAAGCACCUGGAGAGAGACCUCGCAACCCCUGACCCCAGUGAUGCCACUCCCACCCCCUAGAGAAGACUUAACAAGAAGCAAGAGGCUUGGUGAAUGCUCCUUGAUACAGCCGUCAGCAGUCAGCCAAAAAAAUUCUACAGAGAGACCUAUCAGCUGUAAGGAGAUUCAAACGUCAAGGAGCAAGGAUAGAAGCUGGGAAAUCCAUCAGCAGACCAUUGCAAAAGUUCAGACAAAAAAAGAAUGGUGGAUGAGUUUAAGGUGGCACUAA